rnacentral:rRNA from 1 species
AUGGCAACGCUGCUGGAGCUUAACCACGAUGACUACUUUGUGGACCAGCCUGGGGAGAAGGCUGAAACUAACGUGAGAUGCAGCUACUACCCACAGUGUCCAAGGCCAGAGCUUGUAUUUGGUCUCAAGCCUCACUGCGAUGGAACCAUUCUUACAAUUCUCAUGGUCGAUGACAACGUCGGUGGCCUUCAAGUUCUAAGAGAUGGGGUGUGGUGGGAUGUACCGACCAUACCUCGCACCCUCCUGGUCAUUAUAGGAGAUCAGACUGAGAUAUUGAGCAAUGGGUUCUUCACUAGCCCUGUGCAUAGGGUCGUGACAAAUGCAAAGAAAGAGAGGCUAUCGGUGGCUCUAGACUAUGUUGACCACGAGAGAGAAAUCGAGCCAUCGCCAUAG